rnacentral:rRNA from 1 species
GUGGGGAAUCUUAGACAAUGGGCGCAAGCCUGAUCUAGCCAUGCCGCGUGAGCGAUGAAGGCCUUAGGGUUGUAAAGCUCUUUCAGCUGGGAAGAUAAUGACGGUACCAGCAGAAGAAGCCUCGGCUAACUCCGUGCCAGCAGCCGCGGUAAUACGGAGGGGGCUAGCGUUGUUCGGAAUUACUGGGCGUAAAGCGCACGUAGGCGGAGCAGAAAGUCAGAGGUGAAAUCCCAGGGCUCAACCUUGGAACUGCCUUUGAAAAUCCUGAGCUUGAGGUCGAGGGAGGUGAGUGGAAUUCCGAGUGUAGAGGUGAAAUUCGUAGAUAUUCGGAAGAACACCAGUGGCGAAGGCGACUCACUGGCCCGUUACUGACGCUGAGGCACGAAAGCGUGGGGAUCAAACAGGAUUAGAUACCCGAGUAGUCC